GCUCUUUUAAUUCAGGUCGUACCAGCCCCUCCCCUAGUACACAUGUAUCAUGUAAUGGGCUCCAUUCAGCUGAUCCAAAAAGCUGCAACCAGGUUACUAACUGGGGAUGGCUACAGGGAGCAGACAACCCCCCUUUUGCAGCAGCUUCACAGACUGCCAAUCAGGUGCCAAUCUGGACACAAUUCAAAGUGCUGGUUGUGACCUUUAAAGCCCUAGACAGUUUGGAUCCAGGCUAUUUAGCCAACUGCAUCCCCUUGUACUAACCUGCCCGGGCCUUGAGAUCUUCAAGAGAGGUCCUUCUCUUGGUCUCGCCUCUAUCUCAAGCUCAGUUGAUGGGAAUGAGAGAGCAGGCCUUCUUUCUUGUUGGCUGACCCUCAACUCUGGAACUCCUUGUCCAGACUGACAAAUUCAAAGAACACCAAAGAAAUGGGCAAAGCAGUAGACAUUUAUCCAAGUUCAGCCUGACCUCAAGUCGUCAUUGUGGAUUCAUUAUACAUGGAAAUGACAUUCAUUCCAGCAGAUGAACAAGAAACUGCAGGGCACCCGACAGCCUUGGAAUUUGCUCUGCUUGCUUCACUACAGACAACAUAAUUCUUGGCUCUCGCUGUGUCUUAUCGUGGACCUGUUUUGGAUGACUGCACCCUCUUCAGACCUUGGAUCGGAAUUUGACCUUGCUACUGCCUUUGCCCUGUGAUUGAUGACUACUAUCGGCUUUUGACUCCUGGCUUGCUCUUUGGACACCGCUGUUAUCUCCUGACCUGACCUUGGAAUCCUGGACGACGUCUUUUCACCAUCCUUUUGGAGCCUUCGGCUUUAUCCACAUUGUGGAAGCAGUCUACUGCAUUCUUGGUUUGUUUGUUUGUUUCCUGACCAAUUUGGUGUUUUCUUUUGGGAACUGUUCCUUUGAAAACUACAGAGCCGGCUGGCAGGGCUUGGACUCAGAAAAUGCAGUUUGCACUAAGUUUGUUUAGCUUUGUUUUUACCUGCUUGUGUUGCUGAAUUAUAUUUUUGUUUGAACUGCCCUUGUAGCACUGAUAGUGAAGUGUUUCAAGGUUUUUUCUGUGUUAACAUUACUUUUUGGCUUAUCUGCUGAAUAAACUCUAUUUUUGUUCGCUAAUUGGCGUCUGACUCUUGACAGGGACUGUCUGCAAAACAGCUUUGGUAAGUUCGCCCCACCCUUGUUGCAAAAACAUUCAUGAAAGGAGGAUAGGUAAACUCUAAAAACAUGUGGCUGAAAAUGUUUACAAGUCUCCGCGGCUCUAGGUACUUUAACUUAACCAGAGUUCUAAUUCAUGAAAAGAUUUCUAGGCAAGUUUAUCCAAAAGUGCCUGCAACUUCACUUCAGAGCAGUGUGCAUACACAAACCUCUUUAGAUGAAGAGGUCCAGGAGAUAUGAAGGGAAGGCAUGUGUCACUUCCAACUUAUGGUGACUCAAAGGUGAACAUGCCAAGGGUUUUUCCUGCCAUGAUUUGUACAGAGGGGAUUUGCCACACAGAUUAGUACUUCUCCUUGUCUGUGAAAUGAGUACUAUGGGAUAUUUA
rnacentral:lncRNA from 1 species